UACGUAGGGCGCAAGCGUUAUCCGGAAUUAUUGGGCGUAAAGAGCUCGUAGGCGGUUUGUCGCGUCUGCCGUGAAAGUCCGGGGCUCAACUCCGGAUCUGCGGUGGGUACGGGCAGACUAGAGUGCGGUAGGGGAGAUUGGAAUUCCUGGUGUAGCGGUGGAAUGCGUAGAGAUCAAGAGGAACACCGGUGGCGAAGGCGGCCCUCUGGUCCAUUACUGACGCUGAGGCGCGAAAAGCUAGGGGGAGCAAACGGG
rnacentral:rRNA from 1 species